GUCUGUUGGGUCAUUUUGGUGGGGUAAUUUAUUUCUUUUUUAACACUUUUGGGUAGUUUCAAUUUACCGGGUGUUGGGUUAAACCUGCUGGGCUGCGUCGCUGGGUUGUUUCAGGCCAGCGCUGGGUUAUUUAACGCGCCUUGAAGAUGUUUAAAUCGCUCCCCAACUGUCAUUUUGGAAGAACAACGGGGCAAAGCCACGGCUUUCAACUGUUUUAAGAAAAGCACAUGGAUACAUUUGUGAGAGGAAAAACUCGUCGAGUGCAGUCUUAUUGAGGCGUCUAACGGUUGGAACAAACAUGUAAUUCCUUAACCGAGCAGAGUCCACAAAACCCCAUCCAAUUGUUGUGGCGAUUUAAAAAUGCCAGCAGAUCUCUCAGGCAUUGAUCACAAUCAAUGGACAGGUCACCGUAGCCACCCGUAUCCAGUAUGUAUCCAGAUCAGAGGGUCACUGCAGACACCCGUAUCCAGUACGUAUCCAAACCAGAUGGAGAUCAGCAUUUAGAAAGGACUUCUACAUCCCUGAAAGACAGCGGAGACCAGGACAACUAGAGCCCCAGAUACAGAUCACCUGUAAAGACCUUGUCUCAGACGACCACCAGGACAAGACCACAUGAAACAGAUGAUUCUUCUGCACAAUCUGACUUUGCUGCAGCCUGGAAUUGAACUGCUGGUUUCGUCUGGUCAGAGGAGAACUGGCCCCCAACUGAACCUGGUGUCUCCCAAGGUUUUUUUCUCCAUUCUGUCAGCGAUGGAGUUUUGGUUCCUUGGUUUUCCUUAGUUGGGGACAAUUAAUAUCAAGCAAUACCAUCGACUUGAUUGCACAGAGGGACGGACAAUACAUCACUGAAUCAAUGAUGAACUGACUUUAACUGAAAACUGAGUGUUUACUUUUGUCCCUUUGCAUUAUUACACACUAUUUUCCUAUUUAAUACUGUAAAGCUGCUAUGAUGCAGUAUUUGUUCAAUAUGACAGGCUUAUUACUCAUAAUACAUGGAAAUACAGCUGCAAUACAGCUGCAAACGGACUUUGCUUUUCCAUUUGAAAUUUGGCAGUCACUGUGCAUUCAUGAAAACUGAAACAGUAAUUUUUGUUUAGUGUUUUUGAAACUUUUGAAAGAUUUGCAAUUGUGUUUGGAUUUUCACAAUUUGUCACAUGUGGAAAACGCAAUUGAAAAUAUAAUUUGCAGUUCCUUUUAAAAAUUGCUCGUCCGUAGACAGGCUCUAUAGCAGAGUACACUGCUCUCAGGUGUAGAUCUUUGCUUCAAAGCUUAAGUGUUUGACAAUAGUUCACCUAAAAAUGAAAAUUGUCAUUAAUUAUACACCCUGGUCUGAAAGCUCUCGAAUUUCAUUGAAAAUAUCUUAACUUGUGUUCUGAAGAUGAACGAAG